rnacentral:rRNA from 1 species
CAGCCGCCGCGGUAAUACAGAGGAUGCAAGCGUUAUCCGGAAUGAUUGGGCGUAAAGCGUCUGUAGGUGGCUUUUCAAGUCCGCCGUCAAAUCCCAGGGCUCAACCCUGGACAGGCGGUGGAAACUACCAAGCUGGAGUACGGUAGGGGCAGAGGGAAUUUCCGGUGUAGCGGUGAAAUGCGUAGAUAUCGGAAGGAACACCUGUGGCGAAAGCACUCUGCUGGGCCGACACUGACACUGAGAGACGAAAGCUAGGGGAGCAAAUGGGAUUAGAUACCCCAGUAGUCCCUGUCUCUUAUAU